rnacentral:misc_RNA from 1 species
GAUGAAGAACGUAGCGAAAUGCGAUAAGUAAUGUGAAUUGCAGAAUUCAGUGAAUCAUCGAAUCUUUGAACGCACAUUGCGCCCGCUAGUAUUCUGGCGGGCAUGCCUGUCCGAGCGUCAUUUCAACCCUCAAGCCCCCGGGCUUGGUGUUGGGGAUCGGCGAGCCUCCGCGCCCGCCGUCCCCUAAAUCUAGUGGCGGUCUCGCUGUAGCUUCCUCUGCGUAGUAGCACACCUCGCACUGGGAAACAGCGCGGCCACGCCGUUAAACCCCCAACUUCUGAACGUUUGACCUCGGAUCAGGUAGGAAUACCCGCUAAACUUAAGCAUAUCAAUAAGCGGAGGA